GAAGGCGGGGGGAGUGAGUCACUGGGAGGAACCAUGGGGCGGAAGGGAGAGCGGCCUGAGGGGGGGCGAAACCAUUCGCUCCAGGGAGAGGGGAAGACCAGAGAAAUGAGGCUGAUAGAGGGUAAAAACACUCAAAGAGGAUAUCCUUCCCCCCCUCAGUCUCAGAGAGAGACCCCUAAGGCAGCACUUUAUGCCGUCYUUGGGCCGCCUUGUUUCCCCCGGCGGUAUCCUCAUCGACCUCUUUCACUUCAGUGAAAGAAUCAGUGGAGAAAGGAGAGGUGCAGACCAGACAGCCCCAGAGGAAACUAUUGGAAAGUACCUGUGUGGGAGGCAGAGGCAGAAAUUAGACAAAAGACAUCGUGCUGCUGGUGUUAACUCCCAAACCUACAUAGGUAAGAAAUACUGCAGUGGUCCCUUGUUAAGGCAGUGUUGGACUCUGGUAGCCUGGGUGACAACAGGUGACUUUACUGUCCCUCAGUUGCUGCUGAGCACAGUUUGCAGACACAGCCAGACACGGCAAGUCUGGGUUCCCAAAGGAAUCUUCCAAGUGAGACACACAGUGUAGAUGAGUCCUGGCCUCUGGAUCCUUCUUGCAGGGAAACUGUGGCAUUGAGGGCUCAGACAAAGCUCCCUCUUCCUGCCAGUUGCCACUUGCUGGAAUGGCUCCCGGGGACCGUCUCACUUUUCUUAUAAAGGUCGAUUGUCCGUGACUGCUCAGACUUGUGCUCAGGAGGACGAAGAGGCUGGCAGCAUUUCAGCCCCCCCCAGCCCCUGACCUAUCCCACUUCCUCUCCUCCCAAGACUUACAGCCCCUGCUGGCACUGCUCGAGCCCCCUCUGCUUCACCCCCUCCGCAAGGGCAGUCUCCAGAGCUCUAGGGAGCACUGUCACAUAAAUGCUCAGGAAGAAGAAAGCAGGGGCUUAUUUAGAGGUGAAGGCUGGUUAUUCUCUACUAUUAUCACCAGCAUCUGCCCCUUCUGAACAAGGGAGCCCUCCCCCCACCAGCCCUUUCACCAGUGAGCUGAAUGUGGCCAUGCUCUGCUUUGUUUGUCUGACGUGCUGCAAUGGCUGCAAAGUCCCAUUCUCCCCUUUUUUCCCCUCCGCUCCCGGAAGAGCCUGCGUGGCUGCUGCAAGAGCAGGGAGCUCGGAGCACCAUGGAGCAGGGGAGCUGACAAUCAGGGCUGGGAGACAACACGCUGCCUGCACAAUACCCCCCCAAUUAGCCAUUCAUUUGCGCUCCCUCUGAAAUGGGGAGCACAGCCCUUGUGCUGGGAGAUAAAACAAGAACGGCUUCAAUAGCGCUGAUUUAAAUUAGGUCAGGCUAGCUUUUGUGUGGCGGGGACUGCACAAUAGCAGUCACACGACUGUGGAGGGGAGCAGCAUAAAGGAAAGGAGGCCAAGCGAGUGGCACAGAUGCUGGGAGUUGGUGGGUGCUGGGAGAUGAGGGGUGUAAGUACGUGAGUGAGAGCGGAGGGGCAGAUACGACAACCAGCGCAUGAUGCUAAUACAUAAAAGGGGCCACACGGUCUGCAGGGAACAGAGGGGUUAAAUAGCGGCUGUGUAGAAAGAAACACCACCUUGUCCUGCCACACCAAGGGGCAGGAGAGCGUAGCCACCUGCAUCCUUGAGAAACUGGUCUUUAAUCAUAACUGGUUAUGGGGCAAAGGGGUGACAAUGAUGUUGACCCAUGGCGUCCCCCCGAGCACUAGCGCAAGCCUUGUCAAUCUUACAGAGUGGAAGGGGACGGUGUUGCCCAGGGCAUGCAAUUCCUUUCCCUCAGAACUUCUUCUAAAGGUCCAUACCCAGCCUGAACACCUGAUGUGCUAUGAAAUCCCACACGCAGCUCUUUGUCAAUUGGUGGGUUUGGGCAAAAUCAGCAGCUCCUUCAAAAUGAUCUCCUAACCCAGGCUCUCAAAGACAUCUAAGUGUCUGACGGCCUUCAGAGAGAGAUCCUGGAGAUGGUUGCCCAGGAGAAUAAAGGCACUGGAAGCUAGUCCCA
ensembl:lncRNA